rnacentral:rRNA from 1 species
GGAGUUUGGGCCGUGUCUCAGUCCCAAUGUGGCCGGUCGCCCUCUCAGGCCGGCUACGGAUCAUCGCUUUGGUGGGCCGUUACCCCGCCAACUGGCUAAUCCGACGCGGAGCCAUCCUUCACCGUCUCGGCUUUCCUCCCUGCACCAUGCGGUGCUGUGAGCAUAUGCGGUAUUAACAGCCGUUUCCAGCUGUUAUCCCCCUGUGAAGGGCAGGUUCUCCACGCGUUCCUCACCCAUCCGCCGCUAAGUACAGAUUAAUUUGACCGAAGUCUCUUAGACACUGCACUCCGCUCGACUUGCAUGUGUUAGGCACGCCGCCAGCGUUCAUC